GACUGGAUAGCCCAGCGGUUAAGGCAUCACAUACGAGUUGUGUCCUGGUUAAGGGUCCUUGGUUUAAAUCCAAGUCUAGUCA
rnacentral:tRNA from 1 species